GCUUCCCCAACCAAGUAAAUAGUCAACUGUUUGUUUGUUUUUCCUAAUCAAAAAUUUUCUUUUCUCAAAUCUACAAAAUCAACAUAUUUUGAUAAAAAUAACAAAAGAAAAGACUUUAGCAGAAACAAUUGUAGUUGGUCCUUUGAUCUUAAAAAAUGUACAUAAUUUUGCAGCGUAAAUCAAGAACAUAUUUCAAGUUUUUCAACCAAAGAUUGAAGCUAUUUUAUUUGGUUUUUCAGGAGGGGGAAAAGAAUGUACAUGUCUCUCCCACGUACGUGUGACACCGAUAUUACGAUAAAGCCGACGUAGAAAAAUCUCGAGUGAGAGUUCCGGUCAAGUAAGGAAGGGUAAUUUAGGAAAUUGAAGAAGGAGUGUGUCUCUAGUCAUAUCUUGUCGCCGUUUUACCCAACUCCGUGACUUUCUUCCCUCACUGUCAGACAAAACCUUAACCAUGGUUAACAUAACCUGAACCUCUCC